rnacentral:lncRNA from 1 species
UGAGGUGAUUUUAACCAGCGCUGAUGUGCUCAGCAGCAUGUGUGUGCAUGUUCAGUGUCCUUCCAGGCAUCUCCUCUGUCCUUUUCAAUAGAAGAGAUGUUUGAAACAAUUUCAUCCCAGUGAUUAAAAAAAAAUAAAAAAUGGAGGAGAUACCAAGACAGACAUCCCACUCAGAGCAGAGUUCACAGUGGUGCGAGAUACAGAAUAUCAGCAUCAAACAGUUUGAAACAGAUAAUGCUUUCCAGACUGGAUUUACAGUUGACUGUAUUUUCCAUUAGGCUGUGUGGCUGCAACUGCUUCCUCUCUAAUUGCAGGUAUUUCAAUGUGUGGUUUUUCCUCAUUUUGUCAGAUUAAAGCACUGGGGUGAUUGAUUUUGCCAGCACAGAGCAGGGCAGGAAAGGGGACUGAGACUUGAGAUGGUCAAGGAUCUUCUGAGUAGGAAGGAAGGAAAAAGAGCCUGAGGUGUUAACCAGGGUUCCUCUAGUUAUUGUAAAGGUCAGAAAAGACUCCAGCAUGCAUUAAAAUCUGCUCUUGAGACUACUACAUGAUGCCGGUCUUGGAGCUCUUCACUGGCGUUCCCUGCCAGGCAGGUCAGUAGCAGAAGUCCUGUGUUAGUACAGGUGCUUCACACCCACCAGUGGUGUUUCUUGGCUUUGGAGCAACUCCCAAUGUUUCUUACUCCCACUUGUGUGUGUAUAGGCUGUGUAGAAGGUGUUUUCUCUGCACUUUGGUGUGGGAAAGUCAAAGCUCUGUUUCCAUGUACUACUUACUUGUUUUUUUCUGUUUUC